rnacentral:rRNA from 1 species
UACGGGGGGGGCAAGCGUUGUUCGGAAUUACUGGGCGUAAAGGGCGCGUAGGCGGUCCGUUAAGUUAGAUGUGAAAACUCUGGGCUCAACCCAGAGCCUGCAUCUAAUACUGACGGGCUAGAGUUCUGGAGGGGGUAGCGGAAUUCCUGGUGUAGCGGUGAAAUGCGUAGAUAUCGGGAGGAACACCUGUGGCGAAAGCGGCUCACUGGACCACAACUGACGCUGAGGCGCGAAAGCGUGGGGAGCAAACAGG